GACGAACGCUGGCGGCGUGCUUAACACAUGCAAGUCGAACGGAAAGGCCCUGCUUUUGUGGGGUGCUCGAGUGGCGAGCGGGUGAGUAACACGUGAGUAACCUGCCCUUGACUUUGGGAUAACUUCAGGAAACUGGGGCUAAUACCGGAUAGGAGCUCCUGCUGCAUGGUGGGGUUGGAAAGUUUCGGCGGUUGGGGAUGGACUCGCGGCUUAUCAGCUUGUUGGUGGGGUAGUGGCUUACCAAGGCUUUGACGGGUAGCCGGCCUGAGAGGGUGACCGGCCACAUUGGGACUGAGAUACGGCCCAGACUCCUACGGGAGGCAGCAGUGGGGAA
rnacentral:rRNA from 1 species